GGAGCACGUAAGACCACUGAGAAGCGGAUUACAGUAGUCAAGGUGAGAAAGGACAGUGGAAUGGACCUUAGUCGCAUCUGGCGUUAAGUAGGGGCGGAUGACAGGAUUUGGCGAUAGAUUGAACAUGAGGCUUGAAGGAGAGGUCGGAGUCAAAGAGAUCACCUAGGCAGCGAGCCUGCAUGGUGGAGUGGAUGGUAGCACCGUUGACUUGGAGGGAGACAGACACACGAGUAACAACACUUGAGGGAGGAAAGACCAGAAUUUCAGUUUUGGUCAAGUUUAGUUUAAGGAAGUGGGC